AUUGAACGCUGGCGGCAUGCUUUACACAUGCAAGUCGAACGGUAACAGGCCUUCGGGUGCUGACGAGUGGCGCACGGGUGAGUAAUGCAUCGGAACGUACCCAGAGGUGGGGGAUAACGCAGCGAAAGCUGUGCUAAUACCGCAUGUGAUCUGAGGAUGAAAGCGGGGGACCGAGCAGCAAUGUUUGGCCUCGCGCCUUUGGAGCGGCCGAUGUCGGAUUAGCUAGUUGGUGGGGUAAAGGCCUACCAAGGCGACGAUCCGUAGCUGGUCUGAGAGGACGACCAGCCACACUGGGACUGAGACACGGCCCAGACUCCUACGGGAGGCAGCAGUGGGGAAUUUUGGACAAUGGGCGCAAGCCUGAUCCAGCAAUGCCGCGUGCGGGAAGAAGGCCUUCGGGUUGUAAACCGCUUUUGGCAGGAACGAAACGGUGUCCGCUAAUACCGGGCGCUAAUGACGGUACCUGCAGAAUAAGCACCGGCUAACUACGU
rnacentral:rRNA from 1 species